UACGGUGGGAGCAAGCGUUGUUCGGAUUUACUGGGCGGAAAGGGCGCGUAGGCUGCGCAACAAGUCACUUGUGAAAUCUCCGGGCUUAACCCGGAGCGGCCAAGUGAUACUGUCGUGCUAGAGUGCGGAAGGGGCUACUGGAAUUCUCGGUGUAGCGGUGAAAUGCGUAGAUAUCGAGAGGAACACCUGCGGCGAAGGCGGGUAGCUGGGCCGACACUGACGCUGAUGCGCGAAAGCCAGGGGAGCGAACGGG
rnacentral:rRNA from 1 species